AAUAAAUGUAGUUUUACACUAUUCACGUUUAAUGUUUGACCGUUCGUCUUAUUUGAAAAUUUUUUAUGAUUAGUAUUUUUAUUGAUAUUAGAUGAUAAAACAUGAAUAGUACUUUAUAUGUGACUAAAUAUUUUUAAAUUUUUCACAAAAUUUUCAAAUAAGACGGACGGUCAAAUAUUAUGUACGAAUAUCCACAGCUACACUUAUU
rfam:Oryza nivara chromosome 6, whole genome shotgun sequence.